GAAAUGCGAUACUUGGUGUGAAUUGCAGAAUCCCGUGAACCAUCAAAUCUUUGAACGCACAUUGCACUCUCUUUCGGGAGAGUAUGCCUGUUUGAGAAUCUAUAGUAUUUAUUUGUCUGUAUUUCGAAAGUUAUGCAGGCGAGAUCUGAGUGCUGACGUUAACAGCGUCUUACUUGAAAUUUAUAGCCGGAUUGCUAGUUCAGUUAUGAACCGAUACAGCCAGCGAAAAGUGAUGAACGAGACCUCGUCUCCUUUGAACUUAGUAGCAAGCAAUAUUAGGGAGCUGAGCUUUAAUCUAUGCCCAAAUAUAAAGAGGCGACUUUUAUUAGUUGUUUCUUGAACCAUGGUCUCAAAUCAGGUAGGAAGACCCGCUGAACUUAA
rnacentral:misc_RNA from 1 species